rnacentral:rRNA from 1 species
AUUGAACGCUGGCGGCAUGCUUUACACAUGCAAGUCGAACGGUAACAGGCCGCAAGGUGCUGACGAGUGGCGAACGGGUGAGUAAUGCAUCAGAACGUGCCCAGUCGUGGGGGAUAACUACUCGAAAGAGUAGCUAAUACCGCAUACGAUCUAUGGAUGAAAGCGGGGGACCGUAAGGCCUCGCGCGAUUGGAGCGGCCGAUGUCAGAUUAGGUAGUUGGUGGGGUAAAGGCUCACCAAGCCAACGAUCUGUAGCUGGUCUGAGAGGACGACCAGCCACACUGGGACUGAGAAACGGCCCAGACUCCUACGGGAGGCAGCAGUGGGGAAUUUUGGACAAUGGGCGGAAGCCUGAUCCAGCAAUGCCGCGUGGAGGAAGAAGGCCUUCGGGUUUUAAACUGCUUUUGUAAGGAACGAAACGGCUCUGGUUAAUACCCGGGGCUAAUGACGGUACCGUAAGAAUAAGCACCGGCUAACUACGUG